rnacentral:rRNA from 1 species
GACGAACGCUGGCGGCGUGCUUAACACAUGCAAGUCGAACGGAAAGGCCUCUUUCGGGGGGUACUCGAGUGGCGAACGGGUGAGUAACACGUGAGUAACCUGCCCUUGACUUUGGGAUAACUUCAGGAAACUGGGGCUAAUACCAGAUAGGAGCUCCUGCUGCAUGGUGGGGGUUGGAAAGUUUCGGCGGUUGGGGAUGGACUCGCGGCUUAUCAGCUUGUUGGUGGGGUAGUGGCUUACCAAGGCUUUGACGGGUAGCCGGCCUGAGAGGGUGACCGGCCACAUUGGGACUGAGAUUCGGCCCAGACUCCUACGGGAGGCAGCAGUGGGGAAUAUUGCACAAUGGGUGGAAGCCUGAUGCAGCAACGCCGUGUGCGGGAUGACGGCCUUCGGGUUGUAAACCGCUUUCGCUCAUGACGAAGCUUUGUGUGACGGUAGUGGGUAAAGAAGCACCGGCUAACUACGUG